rnacentral:rRNA from 1 species
AGCGUAGACGGAAUGGCAAGUCUGAUGUGAAAGGCCGGGGCUCAACCCCGGGACUGCAUUGGAAACUGUCAAUCUAGGGUACCGGAGGGGUAAGCGGAAUUCCUAGUGUAGCGGUGAAAUGCGUAGAUAUUAGGAGGAACACCAGUGGCGAAGGCGGCUUACUGGACGGUAACUGACGUUGAGGCUCGAAAGCGUGGGGAGCAAACA